CUGGGUGACUACCUCUCAGCCAGCUGUGCCUUUCCUGAUGUCUCUACCACAAUUGUUUUGAGUACAGAUUUGGAGCCCAAGCUAUUAUUUCCGGUGACUUGAGGCCCUCAGGGGGCAGCAGUGAAAUGGAAAAGAGCACGGCAGCCUGCUCUUGGAGCUGAUGCUCACUGAAUCUGAAAGUGGCAUCUUGCUGGACACAUUCAGGGAACAAAAUACACAGGAAAAUGGGAUUAUCUCAAC